CUUCUCGUAGUCUAGUGGGAACGCGCCUGUCUAGUGAGUAGAAGUCGUGAGUUCGAGUCUCACCGAGAAAA
rnacentral:tRNA from 1 species